GUGCUUGCUUUAGCAGCACAUACACUAAAAUUAGAACAAUUAGAGGAGACUAGCAUGGCCCCUGUGCAGUCAUGACAUACAAAUUCAUGAAGCAUUCCAUAUUUUU
rnacentral:snRNA from 1 species